rnacentral:rRNA from 1 species
UGGGGAAUUUUGGACAAUGGACGCAAGUCUGAUCCAGCCAUGCCGCGUGCGGGAGGAAGGCCUUCGGGUUGUAAACCGCUUUUGUCAGGGAAGAAACGAGUUUCUCUAAUACAGAGACUUAAUGACGGUACCUGAAGAAUAAGCACCGGCUAACUUCGUGCCAGCAGCCGCGGUAAUACGAAGGGUGCAAGCGUUACUCGGAAUUACUGGGCGUAAAGCGUGCGCAGGCGGUUAUGUAAGACAGAUGUGAAAUCCCCGGGCUCAACCUGGGAACUGCGUUUGUGACUGCAUAACUAGAGUACGGUAGAGGGGGAUGGAAUUCCGCGUGUAGCAGUGAAAUGCGUAGAUAUGCGGAGGAACACCGAUGGCGAAGGCAAUCCCCUGGACCUGUACUGACGCUCAUGCACGAAAGCGUGGGGAGCAAACA